AUUAUGGAGAGUUUGAUCCUGGCUCAGGACGAACGCUGGCGGCGUGCCUAAUACAUGCAAGUCGAGCGGAGUUAUUUAGGAGCUUGCUCCUGAAUAACUUAGCGGCGGACGGGUG
rnacentral:rRNA from 1 species